CAUCCAGGACAAUGGUGAGUGCCGGUGCCUGCCCUGGGGCCGUCCCUGCGCAGGGGCGCAGGGGCCGGGUGCUCACCGCAUCUGCCCC
ensembl:miRNA